CCUGAACACUUCCUAUUGCCGAACAGCAGUUUAAGUGCCCUACAAGUUGGAUACUAUUAACACCUCCACUUUACAGAGCAAGAGUUGAGUAUUAAAGAGGUUAAAUUCCGGGGCUGGGGAUUUAGCUCAGUGGUAGAGCACUUGCCUAGGAAGCGCAAGGCCCUGGGUUCGGUCCCCAGCUCCGAAAUUAAAAGAACCAAAAAAAAAAAAAAGAGGUUAAAUUCCUGUUCAAGACUGGCAGAGCCAGAAUUUGUUCCCUAACCCAGACAUAGAUGCUCCUGCCCCAGUCUUCCCAGUGAUCAGACUGUGGGCAUAGACCACAGUUCCCAGUUACUAACUUAAAAAAAUAAGUAGGUGGAAAGAGAGAUGUUUCCAGUGAGAGUAUUUGCAGUCUUUGUAGAGGACCAGAGUUUGGUUCCCUGAAUCCACACUGGGCAUGGUUCACAACUACCUGUACCUCUUUCUCCAAGGGAGUCUCGUACGUUCUUCUGCCCCCUCCCCCCACAUAAAGUAAAAUAAGAUUUUAAAAUAAAGGUAAUGUUUUUGUCACAAGCAGAAAAUACAAGAAAGAAUACAGUUAAAAGUGAUAGCUAAUCAUUCGGUGGCUGCACAGAAUGAAGUCAAAACUAGUCAGGUAUCUAUCACAGCACUCACCUCUGCCAGACCCACGGACUCUUUCUUCUCCUAGAACAUUUACAGAGGAGCCCAUAAAAAUUCAAAAGAAUACCUAGGAGUCAGAGCCUCUUGGAGUUUGAAGCUUUAUUUUAUGCUUUGCUAUAAAAUUCAAAGAAGAAUAACUUGGGCUGGGGAGGAAGGUCAGUCAGUCAGGGCUUGCCUUGCAAGCACAGGACCCUGAGUUUAAUCGCUAGAACCCAUGCAGAAAUGCCAGGCAGGGUAGCGUGCUCUUGUAGCCUGAGCCCUGGGGAGGCUGAAACAAGAGGACCCUGGAGUUCACUUAUCAGUCGGUCUAAACUAACUGUUCAACUCCAGAAAAAUGAGAGAUUCUGUUUCAAAGGUGGAUGGUGUUCCUUAAAAAAACUGUCCACUGGCUGAUUGGUGACACACCACACACACACACACACACACACACACACACACACACACACACACACACAUACACACACACUUUUUUUUUUAAGUAACCCAACAGCAUUGUAGUAUUUCUGUAGUUGACUGGGAGCAGAGACUUCACUGUUCUUCUGAGUGCACCGGGGCACGUAAGAAUGCUGCUUUGCACUUUCCCCCUCCCAAGUGCUAAGAUCAUAGGUAUGCUUUACCAUGUCCAGUUUACACCAUGCUGGGGAUCACGAGGCUUUGGGCAUUGUCUGAACCACACCCACAGCCCCGCAGCAGCACUUCUGUAAGAGUCAGUGCAAAUCAGGUUUGCUAGUACAGGCAAAAAUCCUAUCCACUCCGGAGGCUGGGAUAGCAGGAGCACAAAUUCAAGGCUGGCAUUUAGUGAUGCCCUGUAGCACUUAGUGAUGCCCUGGCUCAAAAGGUAAUGAAGCUGGAGAUAUUACUCAGUGCAUUUAUGGCCUUUGCUUGGCAAGACCUUAGGUGAGGCUUGAUCCUAACAUGUACACCCAUGUUAGUCAAAGUUGUGACAGAGCCUGUCACAAACAUUUCCAUCUUACCAGAAGGAUACUUGAACAUAACCCUAGUAUGGCUUCGAGGCAGUGACUAACUGUAUUACUAAGACAGUGAUCAAAGAUAAGAUGGUUAAGUCAUCCAAGCCCCGUUUUUCUGACUUAAAGGUUCAUCAGAGCCAGUCGUGGUGGCUCACACCUGCAAGCAGCACUCCAGACACAGAGGCAGGAGGAGAUUUAAGCCCAGCAUAUUCUACAUAACUAGGGCUAUACAAUGAGACCCUGGUUUGUUUGUUUAUUUGUUUGAACACACACACACACACACACACACACACACACACACACACACACUAUACCCAGACUUCCAAAUGUUGUUGGUCUUCUGUUGGGCAAUGAGUAAAAUUUUUUAGUUUUUUACUUUAGCUUUGGUUUAUGGAUUUGUUUUUUAACCUCAAAAUCAAAACAGGAGUGUCUUAGCCUCCCUAGUGUUGGAGUAACUGGCCUACAGGGCCACACCCAGCAUGUAUUUGUUACUUUGUUUCUUAUAUUUCUGCUAGGGCCAAGGUUGUAGUUUAUUAGCAGAACCUAGUGCGUGAGUCGGAUCUCUACCACUGAAAAAAAAAAGUGAACAAAAACUUCCCCUGAUAGAAAUAGCAUGGUCUAGAAAGAAAAACUCAGUAAUACUAGCAGGUAUGGUGAGCCACGGCUACAGCAGUCUCAGUACUGGAGAGGGUAAAGCAGGAGAAUGGCUAUGAGUUCAAGGCCUACGGCAAGCUUAAGACCAGCCUGGGCUAUGGAAUAAGAUGAUCUCACUAAAUAAAAUAAAAUAAAACUCCAAAACAAAACAGAAAAUCAGUGAAAUCACCACUCUACAAUUGCUAUUUCUGAAAUUCUGACAAAUUCCCUCCUAGCCAUAAAAACAAACAAACAAACAAACAAGCAAAACCAAAUGCAAUGUAAGCUCUUGGAAGGUAAAGGGAAGAGGACCAGAAGUUCAAAGCCAGGUUGGCCACAUAACAUAUUUGAAGCUAACCUAGAUUACAUGAGACCUUGUUUCAAAGGGGGCAAAAAAAA
ensembl:lncRNA